rnacentral:hammerhead_ribozyme from 1 species
AUCCAGCUGAUGAGUCCCAAAUAGGACGAAACAUGCGUCCUGGAU